rnacentral:rRNA from 1 species
AACGCUGGCGGCGUGCCUAACACAUGCAAGUCGAACGGGAAAGUGGAGCAAUCCACGAGUAUAGUGGCGACCGGGUGAGUAACACGUGACUACCUGCCCUUGAGUGGGGGAUAACCUUGGGAAACCGGGGCUAAUACCGCAUAAAAUCGAAAGAUCAAAGGAGCAAUCCGCUUUUGGAGGGGGUCGCGGCUGAUUAGCUAGUUGGUGAGGUAAUGGCUCACCAAGGCGAAGAUCGGUAUCCGGCCUGAGAGGGCGCACGGACACACUGGAACUGAAACACGGUCCAGACUCCUACGGGAGGCAGCAGUGGGGAAUUUUGCGCAAUGGGGGAAACCCUGACGCAGCAACGCCGCGUGGAGGAUGAAGCCCCUUGGGGUGUAAACUCCUUUCGACCGGGAAAAUUAUGAUGGU